UGGGAGUAAAAAUGGGAGUAAAGUAAUCUUGAAUGAGACUUAUGAGAGUAAAGCGUGAAAUUUAGGCACAAAUUCAGACCAAGGCAUUCAGACGUCCACGGCUUUGCACUGUGGCACUUGGGUAAAGAGGUAACUGUGUGCUGGUGGCAAAAAUGAGCACCCCACCAGAUGGGGAGGUUAGGAGGACCUCCAAGGAGGUGCAGAAUGCUGCACUGGAAAGAGAUCCAGACCAGGACAGUCUUGACAGUGACAGUCUAGGGGAGAGAGAGGAUGUCAGCUGCUCAAUCCAAGCACAACCUGGUCACACGAACUCCAGUCCACGUGCUAAAUGCUUCAUCAACGCCGCAGAGCUGAUGGGCGACGGGGACUGUGAGCCGGUGGGGGCUGACCUGGACCGUGGGCCGACCCGGGCGCGGCCUGACGUGCUGCCGCCGGCCACCUCACCGCCGCCGGUGGCCGGACCGCCGCCCCCGCCCGCCGAGGUGGCCCGGAUGCAGAUCGAGGAGAAGCGCAAAGGCAGCCUGCUGUUCAACGGCUCUGGCUGCAGCAGUCCGGAGCGCACCGCCGACCACGACCUGGGCGAGGUGCCGGCCGGCCGGCUGUGGUCCGACUCGGCACGGCCCGACCUGGUGGCCGGGGAGGAGCGCACCGAUAGUGUGACCGGCUCGCCGGGCCGCCGGCCGCCCGUCCCGCUGGACGAGGUGCCGAUCGUAGCCGGCCACCACGAACCGGUGACGCCGACGCCGCUGCCGCCGCGCCGGCCGCCCGACUCGCAGCACGUCUUCUUCGUGGAUCUCAACGAGCUGCCGACGACAGCCGAGCCGCCAGUGCCGCGCCGACCCCGCCACGGAUCCGACUCUGUCUACCUCUACAUCGACAUGAACGAGACCGGCGAGGCGGCGGCGCCGCAGCCCUCACGCCGCCCGGCCGGCGACUCCAUGAGCCUCUCAUUCCACGGCGCCACGGCGGCGGAGCGGCGCCCGACCGCCGAGACGGACGGCGACGAGGACUCUGAGCAGACGGAGGCCUCGGGCCGCAGUCUGUUCUACACGGUGGGCGAGACGGAGCGGCCGCGCCGGCCGCCGCCCGAGCUUACCACCCGCGUGUUGCGCCACGAGAAGCGGCGCCGCAACCUCAGCCUCGACUGCCAGGCACGGACGGAGCAGGAGCGCGGCCGGCCGGCGGCUCCCAGUCCGCUGGUGGGCGCCGACCGGCCGGCCCGGCCCGACGGCCACGCCAGUCUGGGCACCACGCCGGAGGCGGCCCGGCGCGCCGCGCGUCCGGUCCAGCCGCGCCGCCAGCAGGGCCGGCCGCGCGCCGCCGCCGGUACCAGCGCCGGCCGCCGCCCGGACUCCGGCUCCGGCCGCGAGCGGGACAGCCUGGAGAGCGUCGGCCCGCCGCACCGGCCGGCCGCCUCGGCGCCGGCGCGCCGCCGCUCCACCGAGCCGGCCGGCGGGUCUCGCGCGGCGCCGACCGGCCGCCGCGUGACGUCACGCACCGAGCCCAGCGGGCGGCGGCCGGCCACAGCGGCUCCCGAGCCGACGCCGCCCGUGCAGCGCUCGUUCCUGCGCUCACACUCGGGCAGGAACGCGGUGUCGCGGCCUCCGCCGCCACGACCGGCCCCCUCCAGUUCGGCAGAGAGCGGCGGCACGCUGACCCGUCGGAAGGCUGGCGGACGGCCGGUGCCGGCGCCCCAGCGGCCCCCGCCCGGCCCGCGGGAGCCUCCGUCCAACCCACCAGAGUCGCCGCCCGUCUCAGACGACGCGUCGGACGUGUCCUCCGGCAAAUCCUUCAGACGCCAGUCCCCGGAGACGCGCAACAAGCAGGGCAUUGACCAGCUGACAGCCGACCUGCUGCAGAUGCUCUCUGAUGGACUGCACGCCGACGUCACCAUACAGGUGGACAAUCAGGAGGUGUCGGCACACCGCUGUGUGCUGGCCGCCCGUUCCCAGUACUUCCGAGAUCUGCUCGACAAGCCGCACCACAACGUCAUCCACAUCGACGGCCACAAGCUGGAGACGGUGGAGUUUGUGCUGUUCCACCUGUACUCGGGCGCCAUGUACGUGCCGGAGGACGUCGACCUCAGCGACCUCAUCACGCUGGCCGUCAUGCUGAACCACAAGGCGCUCAUCCGGAUGGCCGAGUUCGCCAUGCGCGUCCGACUCUGUCACAUGUUCCACAAGCCGUGCAGCGAGUGUAUCCCGGGCGUGCUGGAGACGCUGUGCACGGCCGCCGACUGCGACCUGGACGACCUGGCGGCGCGCUGCCUGGCCUGGGUCACCCAGAACCGGGUGGCCGUCUGGGCCGACCCGAGCUUCAGCGAGAUCACCGACGAGUACCGCGCCUGGUGCUUCCAGGAGGCGGCCACACUGAGCCAGGAGACGGUGCUAGAUGUGCUGCUCGACUGCCGCCGGCUCUCGGCCCAGCUGCCCGCCGAGCGCUGGUCCCAACAGGUCCGGCAGAUGGUCGAGACCCUGCUCAGCAACUCGGUCGUCUUCCUCAGCAGAAACCUGGGCGCCAUCCUCGUCUCCGACAAGUUCAUGUCGCUGGCAGAGACCACCUGCUGCACGGAGCUGGAGCAGUACCUGCUGGCGGCGGCCGACGUGCAGAACAGCGCUGACGCCCACACCAGCCUCGAGAUGAUAUCGCAGCUGCAGAGCAUCCCCAACCACGGCUGGGAUAAGUUUGAGCUUUGCCUUGCUUAGCAUGCUUGGAGUUCUCCAGAGAAGAAGUCACUCAGGCGUUCCUGUCCGUUCUGCAGCGCAUCAAACAGGUGUGCGGCCGCCGCGCGUCCGGCGGACAAAACUACGCCAGCCUGCACAUGCAGCGGCGCACCGUCCGCUCCCACCAGGCUGCCGGCGCCGAC
rnacentral:misc_RNA from 1 species